CGUAGGGUGCGAGCGUUAAUCGGAAUUACUGGGCGUAAAGCGUGCGCAGGCGGUUUUGUAAGACAGAUGUGAAAUACUCCGGCUCAAUCGGAGAACUGCCUUUCAUACUGCUUUGCUUGAGGAUGGUAGGGGUAAGGGAAUUCCCGGUGUAAGGGUGAAAUCUGUAGAUAUCGGGAAGAACACCAGCGGCGAAGGCGCUUACCUGGACCAUUCCUGACACUGAAUUGCGAAAGCUAGGGGAGCAAACAGAAUUAGAUACUCUGGUAGUCCUAGCCGUAAACGAUGAGCACUAGGUGUUGGCUCCGUUAGGAGUCAGUGCCGCAGCUAACGCAUUAAGUGCUCCACCUGAGGACUACGGUCGCAAGGCUA
rnacentral:rRNA from 1 species